rnacentral:rRNA from 1 species
CACGUAGGGCGCAAGCGUUGUCCGGAAUUAUUGGGCGUAAAGAGCUCGUAGGCGGUCUGUUACGUCUGCUGUGAAAACCCGGGGCUUAACCCUGGGCUUGCAGUGGAUACGGGCAGACUAGAGGCAGGUAGGGGAGAAUGGAAUUCCCGGUGUAGCGGUGAAAUGCGCAGAUAUCGGGAGGAACACCGGGUGGCGAAGGCGGUUCUCUGGGCCUGACCUGACGCUGAGGAGCGAAAGCGUGGGGAGCGAACAGG